UAUACCCCGGCGAUAAUCGCUAAGCAGGCAAGAAAAGGGGCUCAUUGAUCUGCUGAGGAUCAGAGAGGGGAGGGCUCCUCUCUCGUUCCCUCCUCCCUCCCAGACGCUCCACGUGUGUUGGGCGGCAGCCAAGAAAGAAUGGCCGCUUUCCGCCCGGCCCGGCGUUAAAAUCUCACAUGAUAAACCCCAAUUAAUAAGGGUGUGAAAUUAAUUUAAAAUACAUUCCCACUGGGCCGGACCGACCUCCCGCAGUAGGAGACGGGGAUGUCGAUAUUUUAUCCCGUUUAAGCCAAGAGGCCAGAAUGAAAGAAGACACAAAGAGCUGGAGUAACUCAACGGGUCGGACAGCAACUCUGGAGAACAUGGAUGGGCGACGUUUCGGGUCGGGACCCUUCUUCAGGCCAGAAUGAAACCCUGAGCUGUUAUAUCGGAGGAUUUAAAGGAGUCAGCCUGGCUGAGGAACCUAAUAUGACCCCAAUCCCAUUGUUACAUCUGUGGGUGGGAGUUCCUUUACUGAAACACCUUUACUGGCUGCAUUUCACAACUCCAAAAUACUUCUCUGUCUAAUCAGCAAAAUGGUUAAAAUAAAACAUGUGUGAAAUAUA